UUUUGUAAGGCAAAGAAAUCAAUUUAAAGCUCGAGAGGCCGCGACCUGGGGCGCGCUGGGCCUCGCAGAGCAGCCGCGGACCCCGGCGAUCGUGCCGUGUUCGUCUCCUUUGUGUUUCUUUAUUGAGUCCCUACUACCUCUACGGAUAUUCUGGGGGCAAUUAAAGAAAAUCACCGCUUCAUAGGCAGCACAUAUUUCCCAUAGAAAUGUGGAAUGUAAGAAAGGCACAUAAAGCAAUCCAAGUUGCCUGCAGAUAUCCACAGCCUACUUCAGUCUCAGUAAUGCUCUUUUAACCUGGCUAUAUGGAGAGUUGACAGAAAAUACAGGAUCAUCAAUCAAUGAUACAGUAAAUACGUGCAUCAGUUUAAGGGAAGACAUGAGAUCAUGGGUUUAAGUGAGGCUUCAUCAUGCCAAGACAACGUGAUCACUGGGUAUCUGCAAGACAGGCUACCAGCAGCAAAGUUAUUCCCAACCUAUAUAACUCACAUACACUGGAGGAAAUAUCUUCAUGGAAUUAAAACCACAUGGAGUAACAUUUCACGUAAGCAGAAUUCAGGAAUGAUUUCAGUAAUUCCAUCCCAAACACACACAGGCAAAGGGAGUGAAGAUUUCUUCAGCAACAUGGUGGCAGAAAGAUCAUGAAAAGAUCUAGGCCAGUCCAAGCUCACUGCAGUUAAAUCUUCAGUCUCCAGCACUGCACUUGGGAAAGCGUCAAGGAGUUGAAUGUAUAUGUAAUUGGAGUGCCAGAAGAAGAGAACUGAGAGAGAGGGGCAGAACAGCUCAUGAGGGGGAAAACCCACUACAUACAAACAAGAAUACUGCAGACUCCUCAUCAGAAUCUAGGCUACCUGUAAAGGCUUGUAAAAGCACAGAGCUGCUCUCACCAUGCAGCCAAAGAAGAAAUGAGGAUAUCGGUCCUAUAACUGCAAGGAACUGAAUGCUGCCAACCACCUGAACGGACUUGGGCUACUGAGAAGAAGCUAUUCUAGCAAAGCUGGAGGAAUUCCACCAGACUGACAGAACAACACAAAUAAGUCCAUGCCUGACGCACAGCAGGGGCUCAAGGCAAGUUUGUGGACUCGAAGCCCUGUUAGAAUGGAUGGAAUUUGGUCUUAUGAAGCAGAUAGAAGAACAGGAGCUUGACUGUAAAGAUUUGUCUCCACCUCUUAAUAAAGCAUAUCAUCUCCAGGGAAAAGCUUUGCACAUGGCCAGCAUCAGAAUGUGGAGCAGUCUGCUUGGUUUGCCUGUGGGAUUAGAUAUCACCAGGAACCUGUAGAGUCAGGGAAUGUGAUCCAUUAUCUACUAUAUGGUCAGAAGAUUCUGAAGGCAUGAAGA
rnacentral:lncRNA from 1 species